AAUCUUGCGCAAAUGCGGGAAACCGUGACGCAGCGACGCCGCGUGGGGGAAGAAGGCCUUCGGGUUGUAAACCUCUUUCAGGAGGGACGAAGCUACUCGGGUUAAUAGCCCAGAGGGUGACGGUACCUUCAGAAGAAGCCCCGGCUAACUACGUGCCAGCAGCCGCGGUAAUACGUAGGGGGCAAGCGUUGGCCGGAUUUAUUGGGCGUAAAGAGCGUGUAGGCGGCCAGAAAAGUCUGCUGUGAAAACUCGAGGCUCAACCUCGAGCUGUCGGUGGAAACUGUCUGGCUAGAGUCCGGAAGAGGAGAGUGGAAUUCCUGGUGUAGCGGUGAAAUGCGCAGAUAUCAGGAAGAACACCUAUGGCGAAGGCAGCUCUCUGGGACGGUACUGACGCUGAGACGCGAAAGCGUGGGGAGCGAAC
rnacentral:rRNA from 1 species